UACGGCCACAUCAUGUUGAAAUACCGGUUCCCGUAAGAUCACCAAAGUUAAGCAGCGUUGAGCUAUGUCAGCACCUAGAUGGGUAGCCAUUUGGGGAAGCCAGGGUGCCGU